CUGAGAGCUGCCAGGGUGCUGAGCUCAGCGAGUCAGAGCUCAGAUGGGAUGGUUUCCAGGUGGGAUGGCUGAGAGGGAAAGCAGCCAGCACUGAAACCAGAGUCUGCAGAGUCAUGAUGUCAUAAACUAAUCUGGAAACUUCUUUACUUCCUCUUGACACUUUCCCCUCAUCAAUUCAGUUUAUUGGUAUGUAUGAGGUGUUAUUUUAGGGUGUGUAUCCAGAGCUGCCUCAGGGGGCUUGGAGCCACCCCCAGGAGGUGCCUGCAGAAGGAGCAGCCCUCCCCAGCACAGUUUGUGUUCCCCAGUUGCAGAUGUGGAGCUGGUGUGGUCUCUCCCUGGGCAGUGUGGGAUGUGACAUUGGCUCCUGCUGCUCCUCCAGCUCUGGGGCUCACAGCAGAGGCCCUCACAGCUCCCUGCAGGACACAAACAGCCCAGGAUCUUCCGUGGAUGCUAAUUUGAGUUUUGUGCUUCCUGUGAUGUCUUAUCAGUUGAUCCCUGAGGCUGGAAUUCAGCUGCUCUAAUUUUGGUAACUUGAGGAAGCCUGAGUAAGUCUGCCUGGGAUUUCCCCAUCCCUGCCUCCUGCAAAAAGCCUGUCCAGGAACCCAGGCCUGGGAAAAGACCACCUGGAAAACCUCCCCUGAGGAUAAGCUGGUCCUUGGCUUCAAGGUUGUUGCUGCUCUGUCCAAGUGAAGAAGUGCCUUGGGUGUGCUCCAGCUGUUCUGGAUGAUGGAAUGAGCAUUUCUGCCCCUCCCUGCAGAUCCUGCAGCACAGACAGCACAAACAGCUCUGCAUUCCUGGGAGGCUCGAGGUCAGAACACGAUGCUGAGUGUUGCAGAACUCCCUGGCCUGACGUGACCUGGUGUCCUCAGCUCCAUCUGUGUGUGGCCUCCACCACUUCCAGCUGCAAAAGGCACUCCUUGGUGCUUCCUUCUGCCAAACAUCCAGCACUCCCAGCUCUGAGCGCUGCUCCCAGUGCAGCCACAGCUCAGUUUUUGUCUUUGGUGGCCAGUGAAAAGCACUGAGGUCUCUGGCUGAGAAAGGGUGGAUGAAAUUCAAUGCUUUGGAUCCAGCUCAACAGGUGUUUUUGUUUCUCCUUGCUCCUGGUGGGCAGAUCUGCUGCUUGCAGGGCUGAUUCAUCUCCUCACCUGAAGAGGAUCCAGUGACCUGCUUGGACAAGCUCAGCUGGGAGUUAUAAACGCAUCCCUGUGGUACACUGGCAUGGCAAGAGUGGGUAACAGGGGGUGGAAAUAGCAAGAGGAUUUGUCCCUGCAGGUCACCCUCCUCUUCCUGGGGCUCCCUCUGAGGCUGGGUCUGUACUUGCCUCCCUCCAGCUGGGAGUUGGGCAAUGCUGGGACAUGGAUUAGGGGGGUGGGGGGUGGAACUUCACUGGAAACCUCUACGUGAUGAACAGCAGGUGAUGCCACUGGUGCCAGAGCUGGAGGCACCCCCUGGGUGCUGUGCCUCAGGAGCUGCCUGUUGACUGCACCAGGCUGACACAGCCCAGGUGAUGGGACAGCUGGAAGAAGCUGAUUUGAUCUGUCUUCCUCCUUGGAUAUGAUCCUGAUUGAAAUAAAGAGAGAUGAAUGUAAGACCAAA